UACGGGGGGGGCGAGCGUUGUUCGGAAUUAUUGGGCGUAAAGGGUGCGUAGGCGGUUUGGUAAGUCUUAUGUGAAAUCUACAGGCUCAACUUGUAGUCUGCAUGAGAAACUGCCGGGCUUGAGUAUGGGAGAGGUGAGUGGAAUUCCUGGUGUAGCGGUGAAAUGCGUAGAUAUCAGGAGGAACACCUGUGGCGAAAGCGGCUCACUGGACCAUAACUGACGCUGAUGCACGAAAGCUAGGGGAGCAAACAGG
rnacentral:rRNA from 1 species